CUCUAGCUCUUCAGGGGUCUAGAGAGAGAGACAGAGAGAGAAAGCAAAAGAGAGGAGAUGACAAGCUUAUAAAGGAUACAAAGUCCCAUGUACAGGAAGCCAACUAGUGAGCUGGAGAAAGCAGCAGAUAUGAUACAGCUUGACUUUGGACCAUUCUUGUGCAUGCUAUGGUUAUCGCCUAUACAAUGGAACGGAAGUGAGAUGAAAAAUGAAACCACUUGAAAAAUCCUACUUUACUAUUUUCAUAACUGAAAAAAAAA